rnacentral:rRNA from 1 species
CGUGUAGGCGGCCAGAUAGGUCCGUUGUGAAAACUCGAGGCUCAACCUCGAGACGCCGAUGGAAACCAUUUGGCUAGAGUCCGGAAGAGGAGAGUGGAAUUCCUGGUGUAGCGGUGAAAUGCGCAGAUAUCAGGAAGAACACCCGUGGCUAAGGCGGCUCUCUAGUACGGUACUGACGCUGAGACGCGAAAGCGUGGGAGCGAACA